ensembl:lncRNA
UGGCCGCGGUCGGACAGGCUCGUGUUCAGGUCACGCCUUGGCUGGAUCAGCUUCCCUGAGGCAGAGUACCGGAAGCCAGUCACGAGUGCAGGCCUAGGGAGUGGAGGCUGAGCCAGGUUCCAGGAGUGGGAGGAAGGCGGCUGCAUCAGGGAACAAGCUAUCUCAAAAGGCUGUGGCCCGUCGUCAUCGUCCUAGUCUUGUCGUCCCUGUACCGUCCCGAGUAUCCCAGUCCUGCCCCUCCAAGGUCCCUCCCCUUCUGCCCUGGUGACCCCAGUUCCCGUGGCAUAGGAGCGGGCGGUCAUGCACCUCACUAAUGCUUAGCAGACCGGGAGGAAGGACUGGAGCUGUGUUCCCAUUCCACAGGACCUGUUCUGGCCCAACCCUUCCCAUGGCCUGCCCAACCUUCUCCUCCUUGUGACUGGUGACCUGCUUUGAUGGGAGCCUAUGUACCUGAGUGGAAAUCUCCCUGAGUUUCUGCAAUUCUCACCAUGCUGAUGAGCACACCUAAUCUGGACCUAGGAGAAAACCUCAGCCAUUUGCCCUGCUGAACACGCACUUCUUCCUCACAGCUUUCCUGCCCUCUGGCUGACACAGGCUGCCUCUUGGCCCCCUUGACUUUCUCCACUAACUAAAUGUCACACCUGCAGCUGUAGUUCCCAAGAGAUGCUCUCCAGGGUUACCUAUAAAACUGCUAGAGUCACAGAAGACGGUACAUCAGGAGCAACCCACAGAUGUGGAGGUGAGGGGCAGGCGGAAGUGCUAACACAGGUGGCCUUCCUGCUCCCCACUGCCCUAAGGAGAACCCAGACCUCUCCACGUGCUCAAGAGCUAAUGUGACCCGGGUGCCAUGGUGCAUGCCUGCAAUGCCAACUACUCAGGAAGGAUCAAGAAGUUCAAGACCAGGCUGGACACCUGAGUUAGACCUUGUCGCACAAUUAAAAAUUAAAAGGGCUGUGGUUGUAGUACAGUGUGAACAUCCUGAACUCAAAUCCUUUGUCCCCUCCACCCCAAAAGAGAGAGAGAAAAGGAGAGGAGGGGAGGGAAAGCCAAUCUAUUCAUCACACUGUAUCACGAACAGAGAAUGCUGUCUCCCUGGCCAGCAGUGAGCUUCCGAGGGUAGGCACAAUGCAGGUGCUCAAUGGUUAUCUCUGUACCUCUGUAUUCAUGAAUUACGAUACUCAUGAACACAUCUUGGAGUCUUCCUGCCUCUUGAUUUUACUGCCCUUACUAUCUUAAUGUUAAUUGCUUCAUAAGUUCAAUUCUUUCCCAAUUCAUAAAGCCCAUUUUCUGUGGGCGUGGUAGCACAUCCUGUAGUCCCAGCACUGUUAAGGCUGAAGCAGUAGGAUUACUGAGUUCAGAGUGAGCUGGGGCUACCUACUGAGUUCAGGACCAACCUGGACUACACAGUGAGACCCUGCCUCAAAGAAGAAAAGGUGACUUCCUACUCUAUCCUCACCACUUCACAACAAACACUGUCCAAGCCUCUGUGCCUCAGGCACUACGCCUUGUGUGAUGACUACGGACUCCAUUCUUCAGGCAGAUAUUACGGACUAACUGGCAGUUGCAAGUGGAAAGGAAAUGCUAUAAUGGAAAACCAUAAACACAAGUUGAUUCAGAGACUUUCAGUAAUAGUAAUAACUGCAGCAUUUACUGUAGAAAUGAAACUAUACUGAAUGCUUUACAUAUAUAAUCUUUGUUAUCUUUACAACUCAAUGAACAAAGUGGGGGAUCGAGGCCAGCAAGGUUAAGUCACCUGUCCAACUACACAAGUCACGAGGAUUGAUCAGGAUUAGAGUCCGCUAAAGGAGAUAUUUUCUGGUAGAAAAGGCACCUCAUGUAGGAGGUAUGAAUGGAAUAUAUGAAUGGAAAAUAGAUCUCUCUCUCUCUAAUAAAAGUGUGAAAUGUAACAUGAGAUCAACCCUCUUUGUGUCCUUGUCCUGUG